AUGCUUUGUGGAUCUUCGACCCGGGACCGCACCAGAUCGUCAGCCGCAAGCAGAAUGCCUUCAUGGGUGGGCGGUCAUUGCAUGAUAACUUCAUCCUCUUCCGAGAGACUGCACACUCUCUCUACAACAACUCGUGUGCUACACAAAUUGGACCUAUCCAAAGCCUUUGAUUCAGUCUCUUCCCUGUCUUCUUUGAAGUGCUCAAGAGUUGGGAGCAUCGGUUUCAGCGACCAAUGGCGAGAUUGGCUUGCAAUCCUCUGGUCCUCAGCUAGCACUCGAGUCAUGCUCAACGGAGUGCAGGUCCACCAAUUUGGCACAGAAAGGGGCUGCACCAAGGUGACAUGCUUUCCCCAAUGCUCUUCGUCAUCGCGGUUGAUGCCCUCAGCUGUCUUCUCCACCACGCCACCACACUUGGUGUCCUGGAGCAAUUGCAAGCGCUGUCCCGUGGCCGGAGUUUCACUUUAUGCAGACAACUGGGUCAUCUUCUGCCAUCCCUCCUGUCACGCCCCUAGAUUAGGAGGUGACAAAUCAAUACCGAACAGCACCAAAUCCAUCGAUACAAGUGUUCCUGGUGUAUGA
rnacentral:rRNA from 1 species